AUUGAACGCUGGCGGCAGGCCUAACACAUGCAAGUCGAACGAGUGGCGGACGGGUGAGUAAUGUCUGGGAAACUGCCUGAUGGAGGGGGAUAACUACUGGAAACGGUAGCUAAUACCGCAUACCAUCGGAUGUGCCCAGAUGGGAUUAGCUAGUAGGUGGGGUAAAGGCGCACCUAGGCGACGAUCCCUCGCUGGUCUGAGAGGAUGACCAGCCACACUGGAACUGAGACACGGUCCAGACUCCUACGGGAGGCAGCAGUGGGGAAUAUUUCACAAGUGGCGCAAGCCUGAUGCAGCCAUGCCGCUUGUAUGAAGAAGGCCUUCGGGUUUUAAAGCACUUUAAGUUGGGAGGCGUUACCAACAGAAUAAGCACCGGCUAACUUCGUGCCAGCAGCCGCGGUAAUUC
rnacentral:rRNA from 1 species